AAAAAGUGAAUACAAAUACAAAAUGAUAAGUCCUGCGCUCACUCCCAUCACUUAUCUUUUUGUAUUUGUAUUCACUUUUUG